AACGCUCGAGACACAGCAGCUCCCAGGCCGUUCACCGUCGGCACCAUAGUCCGUUCACCACCGACACCCAAGGCCGUUCACCGACGCAACGAUGAGAUUUGGCCAUUGUCACCCACGACCGCACACUCGUAUCUCUCCAGCUUCAAGUAGUGUCCUCCUCUAGCUGCAUGUCACGUUCUCCUCCAGCUGCAGGCUAAUGCUAUGGUGCACAUUCAAGGCAGCAAGCAAACCACAGGUCGCAGCGCCGCCGUUGACCACAUGUGCGCAUGCAUGCGAUUGAUGCGUGUGUGCUUUAGAACUAGUUUCAAUUCAUGGACUACCGGCACUUGCAAAAUCAAAGAGGCUGACCAUACCAAAGUGCCCAAAGUUGAAGCAAAGGAGAUGAGAUGCUACAAAAAAGAUUGUUGGCAUGAUUCUUGAAUUGGGGACUGGAGUUCAAGUAUUAAAUCCAGGAUCCCCUGCCUCCAUGUCCAUAUUCAGAUGUGCUGCAAGUUCAAUUGUUUCAGUUCGAGCGGGUGCACAAAACACAAUGUGUAGUCCGUACUGUCCACAUGUGCUGCAAGUUCAAUUGUUUCAGUUCGAGCAUUUGCUACCCUAGUCAUUUGUUUGUUGCUAAAAUGUUGGAGUCGUACUUCUCAUUCUUGCAUGAAUUUUUAUAUACCAUCGUGUUUAUUUCUAAAUGCCAACCACUUUUUUUUGCCGUCAGGUGUUUGCUUAAAUGCCUAAACAAAGAUCUAUUUUAGUUCAGUGCAAAUCUUCUUAUAAGUUCAGUACAAUUUCUUAUUUUAGUGUGAGCAAUCCUUCAAAUGUCUUGCCUUAUAUUACUGCUCAUCCAUCAUAUCUUUGUGUACUCUUUCUUGAUGUCAGUACACAGAACAAAAAAAAAUUACGUCAAAUUGACAAUUUUUAAUCUCUUCUAUGUUAGUAUAGGCUACAUGUAUACAACAUUUAAUCUGUAGUAGUAGUAGCAGUUUUGCUAUGUAAAGGAGCAGCGGAACUCCAGUAAUUUGUGAGAAUAUCACAUUGGAUACAUGAGUGCAGGAUUAAUACAUUGUUAAUUAUUGCAGGUAGGUCAGACCUUAGAAGCCACUUGCAGCCGCACUUGCCAGCACCCGUGACGAGCCACCCCACCGGCCCCCAAGGCGCGCCAUCCCACAGUCCGCUGGGCAUGGCGUCCUCCUGAAAUAAAAUAAAUGCGCCAUGCUCAAUCCAACCCUGUGGCUUCUGGUGGCCGAGUUCGUCACGACCAUCAGUUCGGAGACCUGCGUCACUGCCCGUGACGCUACAAUGGCCACCUGCAUCACUGCGUGCUCCGUCAACAGCCUCCUGCACAAGGCAACAGGAGUAGAGACGUCUGAGAUGCUCUGUUCUAGCGAGGUGGCUAAUUAUGUUUGUCAGUUUGAAAUACUUUGGCCACAGUGUACUUAUGUAUCUUUUUCUGGCCGGAGCACAAUCGGAGCUUAUGUCAGUACGAACUUUGAUUGUGAUGGUACUACAGACUCUAUAAAAACACCAGCAAUCCAUUUUUACUGGUACCUUUUAUAUGAUUCACAUGGAUUGUGCCCCUAUUACCAACUGUGGUACAAAAAUGCAUUGUGCUCACCAUUUUAUUUUAGUUCUUCAGUUUGUAAUACUUUAAAGAGAGGAGGUAAAAGUGAACCAUUCAGUUUUGUAUUAUAA
rnacentral:rRNA from 1 species